AGGUCAAUUUGGGAUGGGGAUUAUUGCACUUAAUUCACAAAUUCCAUGCCUUGCUCAACUGAAAAGAGUAAAUAAUCAGUGAGAUCCAAUUGUGUUUUCUAUUCUUCAUUCCCUGUGUCCAUUACAUUUAAGUUGAUACCAGAUCCACUAAGUUGAAUGUGAACUCUACUUCUUCUCCCCUCCCAGCCAUCCCUGGACACACAAGGCUAACAUCCACCAUGACCCGGGCAGAGAGAGAGAGGGAGAAGAGGAAGGAGCUGCUGAAGGCUGAGGAGAGAAGGAAGAAGAUGGAGGAUUUCAAUAAGCAGUGGAGAGAGCGGUCCCUGCUUAAAAAACAGACUCAUCAACAACUGAAGGAGGAGAGGGAGAGGAUGAAGGAAAACUACCUGGAGCAGAUGAAUCUGGAGGCUGAUGCUCAAAUCAACACCCGGUGUCUAACCACCCAACACAGCCACGAUUACAACCACGGUCAGGAGUUGCCCGGGUGGGCCAAUGGCCAACAAGUAAGCCAAGAGCCCACUGGAUCUGCUGAUGGCCACCAGGAAAGGCCAAGGAGGCAACAGGCAUGGGCAGAGAACCAGGAGGGGAGUUCAGAGAACCAGCAGGAGGGGCCAGAGAACCAUCAGGGGGGGCCAGACAGCCAGCAGCUAGAAGCUCCAGAAGAGGCUGAAACAUCAGAGCGAAUAUCCAAGACAAAGAAAAAGCCAAGCAUCUGGAAGAAAAUUAGGAUGAGUCAACAAGUGAUGAGCCAGAUCAACCAAUCAACGUCACUGCAGCUGUUCUACCCACCACCCCCACUGCUCUUCCUCCACCACCAACCUCAUCCUCUUCUCCUGUUCAACUCAUUUGUCGCCCCACUAGAAAGGACUGUACAUACAAUUGAAGUCGGAAGUUUAAAUACACUUAGGUCGUUAAAACUAAUUUUUCAACCACUCCACAAAUUUCUUGUUAACAAACUAUAG
rnacentral:lncRNA from 1 species